rnacentral:tRNA from 1 species
GCCGGCGUAGCUCAGUUGGUAGAGCAGCUGAUUUGUAAUCAGCAGGUCGAGGGUUCGAGUCCCCCCGCCGGCU